ACUACAGAAGCUAAACAGGACAGCACUAGCCUUUUAAGCUAGAAAAGAGAAAUUCACCACCUCUCCUUAGUG
rnacentral:tRNA from 1 species